rnacentral:rRNA from 1 species
GGAUUAGAUACCCUGGUAGUCUACGCCGUAAACGAUGUGCACUAGAUAGUGGAAGUUUUGAUGCUUUCACUGUCGAAGUUAAAAUGGUAAGUGCACCGCCUGGGGAGUACGGUCGCAAGGCUAAAACUCAAAGGAAUUGACGGGGGCUCACACAAGCGGUGGAGCAUGUGGCUUAAUUCGAGGCAACGCGAAGAACCUUAUCCUGGGUUUGACAUGUACGGAUUAGCUUCCAGAGACGGAAGUGACGCGUUUACGUGGAACGUAUACAGGUGCUGCAUGGCUGUCGUCAGCUCGUGCCG